rnacentral:rRNA from 1 species
AGUGAACGCUGGCGGUAGGCCUAACACAUGCAAGUCGAACGGCAGCACAGUAAGAGCUUGCUCUUACGGGUGGCGAGUGGCGGACGGGUGAGGAAUACAUCGGAAUCUACUUUUUCGUGGGGGAUAUCGUAGGGAAACUUACGCUAAUACAGCAUACGACCUACGGGUGAAAGCAGGGGAUAUUCGGACCUUGCGCGAUUGCAUGAGCCGAUGUGGAAUUAUCAAGUUGGCGGGGAAAAGGCCCACCAAGGCGACGAUCCGUAGCUGGUCUGAGAGGAGGAUCAGCAACACUGGAACGGAGACACGGUCAAGACUCCUACGGGAGGCAGCAGUGGGGAAUAUUGGACAAUGGCGGCAAGCCGGACGCAGCCAGACCGCGUGGGGGAAGAAGGCCUUGGGGUUGUAAAGCCCGUUUGUUGGGAAAGAAAAGCAGCAGGGUAAAAACCCGCUGUUCUGACGGUACCCAAAGAAUAAGCACCGGCUAACUUCGUG